CGUAUCACCCAAGACAACUUUACGGAGUUGACGAUUGACGGAGCGAAGCGACGUCAAAGCGUUCAUUAAAGUCGAGUUGGCUUAGGGAUACGUUCGUUGGGUAGGGGAGCGUUCUGUAAGCCUGUGAAGGUGUGUCGUGAGGCAUGCUGGAGGUAUCAGAAGUGCGAAUGCUGACAUAAGUAACGAUAAAGCGGGUGAAAAGCCCGCUCGCCGGAAGACCAAGGGUUCCUGUCCAACGUUAAUCGGGGCAGGGUGAGUCGACCCCUAAGGCGAGGCCGAAAGGCGUAGUCGAUGGGAAACGGGUUAAUAUUCCCGUACUUGGUGUUACUGCGAAGGGGGGACGGAGAAGGCUAUGUUGGCCGGGCGACGGUUGUCCCGGUUUAAGCGUGUAGGCUGGUUUUCCAGGCAAAUCCGGAAAAUCAAGGCUGAGGCGUGACGACGAGGCACUACGGUGCUGAAGCAACAAAUGCCCUGCUUCCAGGAAAAGCCUCUAAGCAUCAGGUAACAUCAAAUCGUACCCCAAACCGACACAGGUGGUCAGGUAGAGAAUACCAAGGCGCUUGAGAGAACUCGGGUGAAGGAACUAGGCAAAAUGGUGCCGUAA
rnacentral:rRNA from 1 species